UCUGACUACUUAUGUAAACGUGAAAGUACUGAGUAAAAGGUCUGACUACUUAUGUAAACGUGAAAGUACUGAGUAAAAGGUCUGACUACUUAUGUAAACGUGAAAGUACUGAGUAAAAGGUCUGACUACUUAUGUAAACGUGAAAGUACUGAGUAAAAGGUCUGACUACUUAUGUAAACGUGAAAGUACUGAGUAAAAGGUCUGACUACUUAUGUAAACGUGAAAGUACUGAGUAAAGGGUCUGACUACUUAUGUAAACGUGAAAGUACUGAGUAAAAGGUCUGACUACUUAUGUAAACGUGAAAGUACUGAGUAAAAGGUCUGACUACUUAUGUAAACGUGAAAGUACUGAGUAAAAGGUCUGACUACUUAUGUAAACGUGAAAGUACUGAGUAAAAGGUCUGACUACUUAUGUAAACGUGAAAGUACUGAGUAAAAG